CCAUGAUGGAGGCUAUUUGAGUGUGAAAAACCAUACAGUUAGCCAUUAUUAGCUAACGUUAACAGCUAGCUAGCGUUACUUAUAUAAAACCUCUAAUUUAUGUCCUGUUUCCAACGCGAAUUAAACACUACCUGGGGCCUAUCACUCUACUGACAAAAGUCUACUACUCAACUGGAGCCUCUUGGGAUCCUUGACCCAUCUUCACUGCCUCCGCAUACGACAUCUUCUGACUAGAUGCUUUGUUGCGUAUUGCUGCCCUUCACAGGAACAGGAGGGUCUGUCUCUAUCAGCCCCAGGCCCUGUAUCAUCCCUGCACUGAGACUGAAGAGAAGGGUCUGGGCUGCAGACUGGAUCCCUGACUGGAGCCCCUGUCUCUCUGAUGACCACCAGGACUGAGGUUGUUCUGUCCACCGGUUGUGUUCUGUGUGGUGGUGGAGUCUCUGUCCCUUGUGGUUUGAUUCUUGUUCCGACUUGGGAAAUAAGAGUGACAGCUCCUGAUCCAGGGUUCUGAUCCGGGGCUAGGGUUUGUGACCAGCUGCUUCAGAUGUCCAGUCUCUCCCACCAGCAACACCAGAUAUCAGCAGGUCCUCAUGGACUGCAGACUGUAAACACAAAUUGUACAGAAGAACAUAAAGGUUUAUAUAAGAAACUCUUUUAAUAAUGUUAGUA